GCCCACAUAGCUCAGUAGGUAGAGCGUCGCCUUGGUAAGGCGGAGGUCACCGGUUCAAGCCCGGUUGUGGGCUCCA
rnacentral:tRNA from 2 species